CCUACGGGAGGCAGCAGUGGGGAAUAUUGCGCAAUGGGCGAAAGCCUGACGCAGCGACGCCGCGUGAGGGAUGAAGGUCUUCGGAUCGUAAACCUCUGUCAGCAGGGAAGAACGGUCACUGUGCUAAUCAGCAGUGAAUUGACGGUACCUGCAAAGGAAGCACCGGCUAACUCCGUGCCAGCAGCCGCGGUAAUACGUAGGGUGCGAGCGUUAAUCGGAAUUACUGGGCGUAAGGCGCUCGUAGGCGGUAUGUCAAGUCAAGGGUGAAAUCCCCGCGCUCAACGUGGGAACUGCCCUUGAAACUGGCAAACUGGAGUGUGGGAGAGGAUAGUGGAAUUCCAGGUGUAGGAGUGAAAGCCGUAGAUAUCUGGAGGAACAUCAGUGGCGAAGGCGACUAUCUGGCACAUAACUGACGCUGAGGAGCGAAAGCGUGGGUAGCAAACAGGAUUAGAUACCCUUGUAGUC
rnacentral:rRNA from 1 species